rnacentral:rRNA from 1 species
GACGAACGCUGGCGGCGUGCUUAACACAUGCAAGUCGAACGGAAAGGCCCUGCUUUUGUGGGGUGCUCGAGUGGCGAACGGGUGAGUAACACGUGAGUAACCUGCCCUUGACUUUGGGAUAACUUCAGGAAACUGGGGCUAAUACCGGAUAGGAGCUCCUGCUGCAUGGUGGGGGUUGGAAAGUUUCGGCGGUUGGGGAUGGACUCGCGGCUUAUCAGCUUGUUGGUGGGGUAGUGGCUUACCAAGGCUUUGACGGGUAGCCGGCCUGAGAGGGUGACCGACCACAUUGGGACUGAGAUACGGCCCAGACGCCUACGGGAGGCAGCAGUGGGGAAUAUUGCACAAUGGGCGGAAGCCUGAUGCAGCAACGCCGCGUGCGGGAUGACGGCCUUCGGGUUGUAAACCGCUUUCGCCUGUGACGAAGCGUGAGUGACGGUAAUGGGUAAAGAAGCACCGGCUAACUACGUG